rnacentral:rRNA from 1 species
ACUGAAUAGAUACCCCGGUAGUCUUGGCCCUAAACUAUGAUCACUAGGUGUCGGGGGGUUUCCUUCGGUGCCGCAGCUAAACGCAUUAAAGUGAUCCGCCUGGGGACUACGGCCGCAAGGUUGAAACUCAAAGGAAUUGGCGGGGGCCCGCACAAGCGGUGGAGCAUAUGGCUUAAUUCGAUGCAACGCGAAGAACCUUACCAGGGCUUGACAUGGAGCUGCAAGCCGCCGAAAAGCGGUCGCCUUCGAGGGUGCUUCACAGGUGGUGCAUGGCUGUCGUCAGCUCGUGUUGUGAAAUGUUGGGUUAAGUCCCGCAACGAGCGCAACCUUCACGUUCUGUUACCAGCGAGUAAAGUCGGGGACUCGGAACGAACUGCCUCUGUAAAGAGGAGGAAGGUGGGGAUGACGUCAAGUCAUCAUGCCCCUUACGCCCUGGGCUGCACAUAUGCUACAAUGGCUGCUACAAAGGGUUGCCAACUCGCGAGAGUGAGCUAAUCCCAAAAAGGCAGUCUCAGUUCGGAUUGGAGUCUGC